rnacentral:rRNA from 1 species
GAUGAACGCUGGCGGCGUGCCUAAUACAUGCAAGUCGAGCGAACGGACGAGAAGCUUGCUUCUCUGAUGUUAGCGGCGGACGGGUGAGUAACACGUGGAUAACCUACCUAUAAGACUGGGAUAACUUCGGGAAACCGGAGCUAAUACCGGAUAAUAUUUUGAACCGCAUGGGUCAAAAGUGAAAGACGGUCUUGCUGUCACUUAUAGAUGGAUCCGCGCUGCAUUAGCUAGUUGGUAAGGUAACGGCUUACCAAGGCAACGAUGCAUAGCCGACCUGAGAGGGUGACCGGCCACACUGGAACUGAGACACGGUCCAGACUCCUACGGGAGGCAGCAGUGGGGAAUCUUCGGCAAUGGGCGCAAGCCUGACGCAGCCACGCCGCGUGAGUGAUGAAGGUCUUCGGAUCGUAAAGCUCUGUUAUUAGGGAAGAACAUGUGUGUAAGUAACUGUGCGCAUCUUGACGGUACCUAAUCAGAAAGCCCCGGCUAGCUACGUG